rnacentral:rRNA from 1 species
CACGUAGGGGGCAAGCGUUGUCCGGAAUCAUUGGGCGUAAAGAGCUCGUAGGCGGCUCAGUAAGUCGGGUGUGAAACCUCCAGGCUCAACCUGGAGACGCCACCCGAUACUGCUGUGGCUAGAGUCCAGUAGGGGAGUGUGGAAUUCCCGGUGUAGCGGUGAAAUGCGCAGAUAUCGGGAGGAACACCAGCGGCGAAGGCGGCACUCUGGGCUGGUACUGACGCUGAGGAGCGAAAGCGUGGGGAGCAAACAGG